UACUUGUAUUUACAUGUAGAGAGAGAGAGAGAGGGAGGGGAGUAUUGAUGAGAAAGAAGUGGCAAGUGAGAGCUGUAAUGUAUUGUUGCAGCAGGCCUAGUACCAGAAACUUGGCAGAAGGUUUUUUAACCUUUUCUCUCUUGAAAAUAAUUCACGAUUCCUCUCUCCUAUUUCCACAUUCGCAUCUUUCAUUCGCCUCUUUCUCUCUCCACAUUUACUUACAUGCAAUAGCUGCACUCUUUAUCUCUCUCACACACACAUAACACACACAUCACUCUCUUUCUCUCUCUGCAGCAGGGCUCUCUGGCAAUAGGAUGUGAUUGAACAUUACAAAAGCCAGAGCCUGCUCUUUCUUUCCAUUGCAC
rnacentral:lncRNA from 1 species